UACGGAGGGGGCUAGCGUUGUUCGGAAUUACUGGGCGUAAAGCGCACGUAGGCGGAUAUUUAAGUCAGGGGUGAAAUCCCGGGGCUCAACCCCGGAACUGCCUUUGAUACUGGGUAUCUGGAGGUCGAGAGAGGCGAGUGGAAUUCCGAGUGUAGAGGUGAAAUUCGUAGAUACUCGGAGGAACACCAGUGGCGAAGGCGGCUCGCUGGCUCGAUACUGACGCUGAGGUGCGAAAGCGUGGGGAGCAAACAGG
rnacentral:rRNA from 1 species